rnacentral:rRNA from 1 species
UACGGAGGGAGCUAGCGUUGUUCGGAAUUACUGGGCGUAAAGCGCACGUAGGCGGCUAUUCAAGUCAGAGGUGAAAGCCCGGGGCUCAACCCCGGAACUGCCUUUGAAACUAGAUAGCUAGAAUCUUGGAGAGGUCAGUGGAAUUCCGAGUGUAGAGGUGAAAUUCGUAGAUAUUCGGAAGAACACCAGUGGCGAAGGCGACUGACUGGACAAGUAUUGACGCUGAGGUGCGAAAGCGUGGGGAGCAAACAGGG